AGAGUUUGAUUUUGGCUCAGGAUGAACGCCGGCGGUGUGCCUAAUACAUGCAAGUCGUACGCACUGGCCCAACUGAUUGAUGGUGCUUGCACCUGAUUGACGAUGGAUCACCAGUGAGUGGCGGACGGGUGAGUAACACGUAGGUAACCUGCCUCGGAGCGGGGGAUAACAUUUGGAAACAGAUGCUAAUACCGCAUAACAACAAAAGCCACAUGGCUUUUGUUUGAAAGAUGGCUUUGGCUAUCACUCUGGGAUGGACCUGCGGUGCAUUAGCUAGUUGGUAAGGUAACGGCUUACCAAGGCAAUGAUGCAUAGCCGAGUUGAGAGACUGAUCGGCCACAAUGGAACUGAGACACGGUCCAUACUCCUACGGGAGGCAGCAGUAGGGAAUCUUCCACAAUGGGCGCAAGCCUGAUGGAGCAACACCGCGUGAGUGAAGAAGGGUUUCGGCUCGUAAAGCUCUGUUGUUGGAGAAGAACGUGCGUGAGAGUAACUGCUCACGCAGUGACGGUAUCCAACCAGAAAGUCACGGCUAACUACGUGCCAGCAGCCGCGGUAAUACGUAGGUGGCAAGCGUUAUCCGGAUUUAUUGGGCGUAAAGCGAGCGCAGGCGGUUGCUUAGGUCUGAUGUGAAAGCCUUCGGCUUAACCGAAGAAGUGCAUCGGAAACCGGGCGACUUGAGUGCAGAAGAGGACAGUGGAACUCCAUGUGUAGCGGUGGAAUGCGUAGAUAUAUGGAAGAACACCAGUGGCGAAGGCGGCUGUCUGGUCUGCAACUGACGCUGAGGCUCGAAAGCAUGGGUAGCGAACAGGAUUAGAUACCCUGGUAGUCCAUGCCGUAAACGAUGAGUG
rnacentral:rRNA from 1 species